rnacentral:rRNA from 1 species
UACGUAGGGGGCUAGCGUUGUCCGGAUUUAUUGGGCGUAAAGAGCGUGUAGGCGGCCGAGUAGGUCCGGUGUGAAAACUCGAGGCUUAACCUCGAGACGUCGGUGGAAACCAUCCAGCUAGAGUCCGGAAGAGGAGAGUGGAAUUCCUGGUGUAGCGGUGAAAUGCGCAGAUAUCAGGAAGAACACCCGUGGCGAAAGCGGCUCUCUGGGACGGUACUGACGCUGAGACGCGAAAGCGUGGGGAGCGAACAGG